UACAGAGGGUGCAAGCGUUGUUCGGAAUUACUGGGCGUAAAGCGUGCGUAGUCGGUAUUGAGAGUCGCGGGUGAAAUCCCAGGGCUUAGCCCUGGAACUGCCUGCGAGACCUCAGUACUAGAGUGUGAGAGGGGAUAGUGGAAUACCAAGUGUAGCGGUGAAAUGCGUAGAGAUUUGGUGGAACACCGGUGGCGAAGGCGGCUAUCUGGCUCACAACUGACGAUCAGGCACGAAAGCGUGGGGAGCAAACAGG
rnacentral:rRNA from 1 species